UACGGAGGAUGCGAGCGUUAUCCGGAUUUAUUGGGUUUAAAGGGUGCGUAGGUGGUGAUUUAAGUCAGCGGUGAAAGUUUGUGGCUCAACCAUAAAAUUGCCGUUGAAACUGGGUUACUUGAGUGUGUUUGAGGUAGGCGGAAUGCGUGGUGUAGCGGUGAAAUGCAUAGAUAUCACGCAGAACUCCGAUUGCGAAGGCAGCUUGCUAAACCAUAACUGACACUGAAGCACGAAAGCGUGGGGAUCAAACAGG
rnacentral:rRNA from 1 species